rnacentral:rRNA from 1 species
GCUGCCCUCUUUCCUCGUGCCUAAUACAUGCAAGUCGAGCGAACAGACGAGGAGCUUGCUCCUCUGACGUUAGCGGCGGACGGGUGAGUAACACGUGGAUAACCUACCUAUAAGACUGGGAUAACUUCGGGAAACCGGAGCUAAUACCGGAUAAUAUAUUGAACCGCAUGGUUCAAUAGUGAAAGACGGUUUUGCUGUCACUUAUAGAUGGAUCCGCGCCGCAUUAGCUAGUUGGUAAGGUAACGGCUUACCAAGGCAACGAUGCGUAGCCGACCUGAGAGGGUGAUCGGCCACACUGGAACUGAGACACGGUCCAGACUCCUACGGGAGGCAGCAGUAGGGAAUCUUCCGCAAUGGGCGAAAGCUUGACGGAGCAACGCCGCGUGAGUGAUGAAGGUCUUCGGAUCGUAAAACUCUGUUAUUAGGGAAGAACAAAUGUGUAAGUAACUAUGCACGUCUUGACGGUACCUAAUCAGAAAGCCACGGCUAACUACGUG